rnacentral:rRNA from 1 species
UACGGAGGGAGCUAGCGUUGUUCGGAAUUACUGGGCGUAAAGCGCACGUAGGCGGUUCGGUAAGUCGGGUGUGAAACCUCCAGGCUCAACCUGGAGACGCCACCCGAUACUGCUGUGACUAGAGUCCGGUAGGGGAGCGUGGAAUUCCUGGUGUAGCGGUGAAAUGCGCAGAUAUCAGGAGGAACACCAGCGGCGAAGGCGGCGCUCUGGGCCGGAACUGACGCUGAGGAGCGAAAGCGUGGGGAGCAAACAGG